UACAGAGGUCUCAAGCGUUGUUCGGAUUCAUUGGGCGUAAAGGGUGCGUAGGUGGCGGGGUAAGUCAGGUGUGAAAUCUCGGGGCUCAACCCCGAAACUGCACUUGAUACUGCCUUGCUCGAGUACUGGAGAGGAGAUUGGAAUUUACGGUGUAGCAGUGAAAUGCGUAGAUAUCGUAAGGAAGACCAGUGGCGAAGGCGAAUCUCUGGACAGUUACUGACACUGAGGCACGAAGGCCAGGGGAGCGAACAGG
rnacentral:rRNA from 1 species